UUCUGCAUUUUCCUGCAGGUGAAGACUUCUUUCUUCUGGAAUGAAAGAUUUUGAGGAAAAAUCUUCCAUUUUGGUCAGAAUUAUCUGACCAUGUGUGCAAGGGAUUUGAGCAGAGUCAUCAUCCUGGGAGGAAAUUGUCAUCUUGUGAUACAGCUCUGCGAGUGGACCUGUCUUUGUGGUGUCUUAUCUCCCGUGAGUUAGCAUCAGAUGAAGCUUGCUGACAGCAUAAUGGCAGGGAAAACCUCCGACGGCUCCAUCAAAUGGCAGCUCUGCUACGACAUCUCGGCCAGAACUUGGUGGAUGCGUCCGUGUGCGCGUGCAUUUUUUACCAUGCAGUAUUUUGUAAAAAGGAAAGGUGGAAAGUUCAGUCCGUUACAAAGCGAGUCGAUCCCUGUAAAAGCCUGGAACGGUGCGGUCGUGGCGUGGUGUAAAAUCAUCACGUGUGAGACGAGCGCGGUUUGCGAGGUGCUGCCUUUCAUCCAAGACCCCGAUCUAACUUUUCCCUCCGCUUGUUUGUGUUAGAACAGGUUCCCGGGCUGUGCUGACCUGGAGCCAUGUGUUACAGAUCCCACAUAGUCUGGCUCUAGCUGCUUUUGGGCACAAUUAAAGUUUCAAUAAAGUCCCAACGUGCUCCAUAGAACGAGUUAACUAGCAUGUCAUGGUCAGCCGGGCCAGACAACCUUUGACAUCUUGAAUCUAUAAGAGGUAUAGUGAGUUAGGAGGAUGCACAAUAGCCCAUUGUAGCAGAAGAUGCAAGUCCUGUUGCGAGGAAGAGAGUCCUCAAAUCAUUACUGCCCUCGUUAGCGUGUUGUCCGUUAGGGAUUAAUUCGUUAGCAGCGCAUUUUUAGUUUUCUGUAAUUAUUAUUCUUGUGGCAAGCGUG
rnacentral:lncRNA from 12 species